UUUAACAGAUUGUGAAUGAAGUUCAUUUUAGCCAGUCAAAAUCUGAGAUGCAUUUGAAUCAAAAACAUCUCACUGGAAUUCUUUAGUGUCCAUUUGCACUCAUCAGCAAUACUUUUCCAACUAGUCUGCAAAGCUCAGUGAUUGGCACUUUUAUUAAAGACUGUGAAAUAUGGUGUCAUGGCCUAAUCCAAUAAUAACCUGCUACUUAAUAAUACAAUAAUAAUCCUGCUACUUUGAGAGCUCAGUCAAUUUUAUUUAAACCUGCAAGUCUUUGUUCAUGAGCUAAGCACUAAGGCUCAGGCACUUCUGUGCAAGACAAAGUGCCCCAUAGACUGGUACUGCCUUGCGAAUUCACAAGUGCAGAAACAUGCUUACAAGACUGCAUAAAAAGAGCUCUUUUUUGACAUCCUUCAGAUCUGAGAACAUAAAAAUCUUCACUGAGUGGCAGAGAAAAGAGAGGAAAUAUUUUUGUGUCUCAUUUCUUAGGACUAGACCUAUCCCAUCAUGUUUACACAGACUUCCAUAGCCUUUCUGUACAGUAACCACUACUCUUUAUUUAAACAGUUAUUGAUAUUUGCAAUGUUACCAAAAGGUUCCUGUUUGGGUGAUCCCACAGUCUGUAUGCUGCUUUACCAGUGCAAAAGCCAAAUUGCAGGAAAGCAGACUGUUCCUUUGGAAGAACUGACAACCUAUUGCACAAACUCAAUUGUUUGACCUCACACACAGUGGACGGGGGUUUCUGAAAAGAUCUGCUUGUAAUGGAACUGCCACAUCACAGAUGCACUCUGCCCAUUGGUAGAAGCAAACUCUAUCAUUCUGCCGUUUCGAAAGAAAUGUAAAAACAGACAGACAGAGGAAAGGUAAACAGAGGAGGAAAUGAAAAAAGAAACAAGGGGGAGAGAGAAUUUUGUUACUGUAGGGAGCACUGUAGGGAGACGGAAGGAGGGGUCAGCUAGGGCUAAGGCUUUGCUACAUGACAGUAGAUGAAGCCUCAAUCACAUUUGUCAGACAUUGUCUUGCGUAAC
rnacentral:lncRNA from 1 species